AAUAGAUACCCGGGUAGUCCAUGCCGUAAACGUUGGGAACUAGAUGUGGGGACCAUUCCACGGUCUCCGUGUCGCAGCUAACGCAUUAAGUUCCCCGCCUGGGGAGUACGGCCGCAAGGCUAAAACUCAAAGGAAUUGACGGGGGCCCGCACAAGCGGCGGAGCAUGCGGAUUAAUUCGAUGCAACGCGAAGAACCUUACCAAGGCUUGACAUACACCGGAAAGGUCUGGAAACAGUCCCCCCGCAAGGCCGGUGUACAGGUGGUGCAUGGUUGUCGUCAGCUCGUGUCGUGAGAUGUUGGGUUAAGUCCCGCAACGAGCGCAACCCUCGUUCUAUGUUGCCAGCGGUUCGGCCGGGGACUCAUAGAAGACUGCCGGGGUCAACUCGGAGGAAGGUGGGGAUGAGGUCAAAUCAUCAUGCCCCUUAUGUCUUGGGCUUCACGCAUGCUACAAUGGCCGGUACAAAGGGCUGCAAUACCGUAAGGUGGAGCGAAUCCCAAAAGCCGGUCUCAGUUCGGAUUGAGGUCUGCAACUCGACCUCAUG
rnacentral:rRNA from 1 species